AAAAUUAAACUAUUAAAUGUUCCUGGCUGAAGACCAAUUCUAAUAUUUUGUAAAAUUAAAAAGUCAUAAAUCAAACAGGACCUGGGUGCUCAGCCAGGAUGUGCUUCACCCACCUCACCUGGGAACCUGGCACAGCAAUACUGCACAAACUGACUGCUUUGCACCAGUGAGUCUCUUCCAGGUCAUAGUUGGAUGAAAGAUCCACAGCAACACUGAAGUAUUUGAGAGAGAUCCUUGGAUGCAAUGGGAUCUUUAUGCUGACAGACUGAUUGCUAAUGGGAUGCUGUGUGAUGCAUGGACUGGGACACCCUAGAUCUGAAGACCUAAAAUGACAAGUGAAACAAGAUAAG